GACAGAGGGUGCAAACGUUGUUCGGAAUUACUGGGCGUAAAGCGCGUGUAGGCUGCCUCGCAAGUCGGAUGUGAAAGCCCUGGGCUCAACCUAGGAAGUGCAUCCGAAACUGGCGAGCUAGAGUACUAAAGAGGAUCGCGGAAUUCCCGGUGUAGAGGUGAAAUUCGUAGAUAUCGGGAGGAACACCGGUGGCGAAGGCGGCGAUCUGGGUAGAUACUGACGCUGAGGUGCGAAAGCGUGGGGAGCAAACAGG
rnacentral:rRNA from 1 species